GGUGACUCCGUGCAUGGAGGCGCGGUAAUACGGGGGGUUCGAGUGUGAAUUGUGAUUACUGAGGGUGAAGGGUGCGUCGGUUGUUUUAUAAGGUAUCUGUGAAAGCCCUGGGCGUAACCUGGGCAGGUCAGAUAAAACUGUUAGACUCGAGUAUGGGAGAGGGUAGUGGAAUUUCCGGUGUAGCGGUGAAAUGCGUAGAGAUCGGAAGGAACACCAGUGGCGAAGGCGGCUACCUGGCCUAAUACUGACACUGAGGCACGAAAGCGUGGGGAGCAAACAGGAUUAGAUACCCCGGUAGUC
rnacentral:rRNA from 1 species